AGGAUAAGCUGAAAUCAAGAAAGAGAUCCAAAAAAUCAAAAAAAGAAAGAAAAGAAAAACCCUAGCUCCCAUUUGGCUAUGAAGGCGACGACUGUCAAGCAUAAUCGACAUCCUUCUUUUUUUCGAUACUGCCAACAGCAGCUGCAUAUCUUGCACCCUCUUUUCAGCUCUUUUAAUCUCUUUUCUUCUCUUUAAUUUUCAAGGACUCAUUUUGUAUUCAAGACCAUUAUGAGUGGCUAAUU
rnacentral:lncRNA from 1 species